ensembl:snRNA U2 U2 spliceosomal RNA
AUCGCUUCUCGGCCUUUUGGCUAAGAUCAAGUGUAGGAUUUCUUUGUCAUGAUUCCUCAGUGAAAUUCCAGUCUCUUUCUUGCCUGAGAUUUCUUCAAAACUAUAUUAUUAGUAAUUUUUUUACUCUGAAGUUUCUGUAUAAAAAUAGCCAGAGCAGAAGGUUU